GUUUAAAUAGUUUAUAAAUAAAACACCGAUUUUGUAAAUCGAAAAUAAUACUUUUUUAAACA
rnacentral:tRNA from 1 species